UGAGAAAAAUCAGUGUUUUUUGUACCUACACUGACUGACUCACAACUGCUGGUUUUGCAUAUAGAAAGACCUGCAUUAAGCAUUCUCUGUAAAUUAGAAUCAUCGGGAGAGCUUUGAGAACCCUGGUGCUGGGAGUAUGGAUUGACCUGUCAACGCCCAUAUUCAGCGGGGAAGCAAUUACAGAAGCCAGACCUUCCACUUUCUGCAUCCCACAACGACCUUGGGUCCAUACUCCCAGAGGCUUUCAGACGCAACAAGGAUGCUGACAGCAAUGAAGUCUCUACUCUCCUGCUUCUAAGCCACAAUCACAGUUCUUGCUUUGUCCUAGUUCAGAAAUUAAGUAUGACAGUCUGUUUGCAUAUUUUUGCCUGGUGAAAAAUAAUAAAUCAUUGUCACGUUCA